GAAGCGCGCCAGACCGCCGCUGGUGCAAUCUGGGAAACCAGGCACUGGAGGAACGUCCGGACUGCACAGGACAGCGUAGCAGCUAACGGCUGCCCACCGUGAGGUGAGGAUCAGAGCAACAGAGACGAGUCGGAGCAGGCAGCAGCCACCGAAGGUGUUCUAUCGGUCACCCGCGCAAGCGGGUACGGCUGGCGCAAGCCAGACGGUUUGUGGCGCAAGCCGCAAAGACCCUAGCCACCCGAAGCGGGCGGCGCCCGCUUCGGGUGAAACGGGCAAUCUCUACGCGCAGCAAUACCAAGUAGGCCAACGUUGAUGUGGUUCCGCAGAGUUGGCGGGUAGGUAGCACCGAGCCGUGGUGGCGACACCCGGCCCAGAUUAAUGGCGGUCACACUGCGGGCAACCGUGGUGCACAGAAUCCGGCUUAUCGGCGCGCUUCACAC
rnacentral:RNase_P_RNA from 1 species